GUUACCGCGGUGACCGCGGGGCCGCCGCUCCAGAAGGUUCCCGGGAUCGGGAAUCGGGAAAAUUCCCGGGAAUCGGGAAAAUUCCCGGAAAUCGGAUAAAUUCCCGGAAAUUCGGGAAAAUACGAGAAUUGCAGGAGUCGCGGCCUCGCUGUGCCACGGGAUGGCAGUAAAAUAAAGCUGCGGGCUCUUCCCGGCGCCUGGAAACCGGCGGGACAGAAAGCAUCAGGAGGCUGGAGCGAGGUAUCCAUGGGCUUUUCCAGGGAAACAGCCGUGAGGAGGAUGGAUGGAUGCCGUGAGGGAUGGAGCAAGGCCCGGGAUGCUCCAGGAUCAGCGUUCCAGGGCACAUCCCCUUCCCAAGGCUCUGGGACUGUUCAUUAUCGCUUCCCUGCCCUGCUCGGGAAUUUGUAACUUCCAGCUCAACAGGGAAAAAGUUUCAGCAGGAAAAAGCAAAUAAAGGGAAAACCCCCCAGCAGACCUGGAAUAGUCACAGGGAGGUUUCAGUCAAAAAAUGGAUUUGGGAGAUCUUUCCCAGCUUUAAACAUGGAAGAUUUUGAGAUGAAGUUCUAGCCUUAAAUAGAGAUUUUUAAUAAAUAAUAAAUAAGAUGAAUAAGAAAUUCAUCUUUUAAAUAAGAUGAAUUUCCAGGAGCAGGAGAAUUUGCAGAAUUUUGUGUUUGAUACAGGAAUUAUCUUAAAGAAAAUCCACCUGGCUGGUUUGUGACAAGUGAACAUUCCAGCCUGGAACGGCCCUAAAACCAACCAGAGCAUCUCUCUUAAUCAGAAUAUUGACAAGUAAUUAAUAAAUGGCCACUGUAAAUGAUUUAAUGACUAUGCUAAAGACGCUGCUUGUGGCGUUUUUAGUGUGAAUAAACUUUAUCUUCAGAGCAGUUUUAAAUAGUUCUAAAAUCUUGGAAUAACUGCGGUGCAGAGGUUGAGAUUAUAAAAUAUUUGUAAUAUUCUGUGUGUGGCUUGAAACAAAGCUGAAUUCUGUGUGUGAGCAAUAAACCCCAUCCCAACUGGCCUGA